AUGAGACUCACCUGUGAGGAGAGUGUGGACCGGAAGUAGAGAGUAAACCGGAAGUCAAUGGUCGGCGGGAGGAGAGGACAGUAGAGAGAGUGAAGUGGGCUGGAGGAGAAGCAGGUUGCACACCUGGUCCAGUGGACCAAUUCUGUCUGAGGAGAAGCUGGAAAAACUACAUUUCUGUAGCAAACAUGGAAACUCCCAGAAAGAAGGACUCUGAUGAUGAGAUCAGGCUCUGACAGAACCGAUGAGCAGCCCUUCUCCUCCUCCUCUUCUCCCCUUUCCCCCCUCCUCCCUGAGGACAUCCUGGUCAGUCAGACCUCAGUCGUCAGGUUCUGGUCCCUCCUCAUCCUCAUCCUCAGCCCUGCCCGUCUGCUCUGAGUCUUUAUAACCAGGCGUCAGUCAGAGACCAGAUCAUCACAAACUGAAGACAAAGACACUUCUUAUAUUUCAUCACCUCAUUUUACAGAAGUUUCCUGCAGCUCUGAACAAACUCUGGAGGAGAGAUGCAGCCUCUGACUCCCGCCCUCCUUGUCAUUCUUCUUCUUGCGACAGGCUCAGCGAAGCCGGUUCCCCAGGAGAAGAAUCUGGAUGCUGACCUUGCUGACCCUGAGGGUCAGCUGGGCUGGCUGGAGAACAGUGACACCACGCUCCUCAGACAGACCAGAUCUUCUGAGUAUGAAGACUCUUCUGAGGAGUCUUCAGAAAGCCAAUCAUCUGAGGAGUCAUCGGAGGAGGGAGGCGACGACGACGAUGAUGAUGAAGAUGACAACAGCACGACCCCCCCACCUACAGAAACCACCGGAACCAUUAACCCUGAGCCCAGUACUGAGAACAGCACAGGGGCCACACCCACUGCUGGUGUCACCGAGGAGAACUCGACAGCUGCCACAACAGAAAGUAGAGGAGAUGUGUAAACAGAGCUACUUCCUGUUAGCCUCCACCGCAGCAUUUCAUUUGAGAUUUAAGAAUAAGACAAAAAUGUCAAGAAUGGCUCCAUUUAGCUUCCUGUCAUGUAUACCAACCUGGGGCCACUCUCUCUUGCUUUUAGCAUGUUGCCUACUUCACAUUACAACUCGCGUUGUAAGAAAUUAUAACAUUUUCAUAAAUGUGAUCUAAGAGCUGGGGUUUAGCUAACUUCCUGUCUGCCCUUGAUUGUUUCAUAUAUCACAGCAUUAAAGACCAGCUUUCCUGUAAGUCCUCUGUUUCUAUGUUUGGAAGAAAUACAAAUAAAACAUGUUUGCCUAACUUUUA